rnacentral:rRNA from 1 species
GAUGAACGCUAGCGGCAGGCCUAAUACAUGCAAGUCGAGGGGUAGAUGGGGCUUGCUCCAUUGAGACCGGCGCACGGGUGCGUAACGCGUAUGCAACCUACCUUGAUCUGGGGGAUAGCCCGGAGAAAUCCGGAUUAACACCGCAUAAAACCAAAGCAGGACAUCAUGCAAUGGUCAAACAUUCAUGGGAUCAUGAUGGGCAUGCGUGCCAUUAGCUUGUUGGCGGGGUAACGGCCCACCAAGGCUACGAUGGCUAGGGGAUCCGAGAGGAUGGCCCCCCACACGGGUACUGAGACACGGACCAGACUCCUACGGGAGGCAGCAGUAAGGAAUAUUGGUCAAUGGAGGCAACUCUGAACCAGCCAUGCCGCGUGCAGGAAGACGGCCCUCCGGGUUGUAAACUGCUUUUAUCCGGGAAUAAACCUAUUUACGUGUAGAUAGCUGAAUGUACCGGAGGAAUAAGGAUCGGCUAACUCCGUGCCAGCAGCCGCGGUAA